rnacentral:rRNA from 1 species
GAUGAACGCUGGCGGCGUGCCUAAUACAUGCAAGUCGAGCGAAUGGAUUAAGAGCUUGCUCUUAUGAAGUUAGCGGCGGACGGGUGAGUAACACGUGGGUAACCUGCCCAUAAGACUGGGAUAACUCCGGGAAACCGGGGCUAACACCGGAUAACAUUUUGAACCGCAUGGUUCGAAAUUGAAAGGCGGCUUCGGCUGUCACUUAUGGAUGGACCCGCGUCGCAUUAGCUAGUUGGUGAGGUAACGGCUCACCAAGGCAACGAUGCGUAGCCGACCUGAGAGGGUGAUCGGCCACACUGGGACUGGGAAACGGCCCAGACUCCUACGGGAGGCAGCAGUAGGGAAUCUUCCGCAAUGGACGAAAGUCUGACGGAGCAACGCCGCGUGAGUGAUGAAGGCUUUCGGGUCGUAAAACUCUGUUGUUAGGGAAGAACAAGUGCUAGUUGAAUAAGCUGGCACCUUGACGGUACCUAACCAGAAAGCCACGGCUAACUACGUGCCAGCCGCCGCGGUAA